UAGGGAAUCUUCCGCAAUGGACGCAAGUCUGACGGAGCAACGCCGCGUGAGUGAAGAAGGAUUUCGGUUCGUAAAACUCUGUUGUUAGAGAAGAACAGCGCAUAGAGUAACUGUUAUGCGUGUGACGGUAUCUAACCAGAAAGCCACGGCUAACUACGUGCCAGCAGCCGCGGUAAUACGUAGGUGGCAAGCGUUGUCCGGAUUUAUUGGGCGUAAAGCGAGCGCAGGCGGUCAAUUAAGUCUGAUGUGAAAGCCCCCGGCUCAACCGGGGAGGAUCAUUGGAAACUGGUUGACUUGAGUGCAGAAGAGGAGAGUGGAAUUCCAUGUGUAGCGAUGAAAUGCGUAGAUAUAUGGAGGAACACCAGUGGCGAAGGCGACUCUCUGGUCUGUAACUGACGCUGAGGCUCGAAAGCGUGGGUAGCAAACAGG
rnacentral:rRNA from 1 species